rnacentral:rRNA from 1 species
UACACUCCUGCGGGAGGCAGCAGUGGGGAAUUUUGGCCAAUGGGCGAAAGCCUGAUCCAGCCAUGCCGCGUGCAGGAUGAAGGCCUUCGGGUUGUAAACUGCUUUUGUACGGAACGAAACGGCCUUUUCUAAUAAAGAGGGCUAAUGACGGUACCGUAAGAAUAAGCACCGGCUAACUACGUGCCAGCAGCCGCGGUAAUACGUAGGGUGCAAGCGUUAAUCGGAAUUACUGGGCGUAAAGCGUGCGCAGGCGGUUAUGUAAGACAGUUGUGAAAUCCCCGGGCUCAACCUGGGAACUGCAUCUGUGACUGCAUAGCUAGAGUACGGUAGAGGGGGAUGGAAUUCCGCGUGUAGCAGUGAAAUGCGUAGAUAUGCGGAGGAACACCGAUGGCGAAGGCAAUCCCCUGGACCUGUACUGACGCUCAUGCACGAAAGCGUGGGGAGCAAACAGGAUUAGAAACCCGGGUAGUCCC